UCUCAUGUGACCUGUAAUAAUAGGCUAUCUCCUAUAAAUUAGAAAGUCCAAGUAUAGUUCGUAAAAAGUAGCAGCUUGUGGGACUCCUGAAGCCACCAAGUUAAUGAUCAUGAGAAUCUUUUGCUUUCUCUUUGCUUUUCUCUUCCUGUUUUUCCAAGCCCAGGCUUCCUUAGAGAGUCAGAAUGAAGCUACAAAGGAAGAUAUAACUGAAGUUGAAGGGCAUAUAGAGAAUGCAAAGCUUAAGAAUGGUGAUGAUGAAGGAGAUAAUCUUCUCCCAAGAGGUGAUCCAGUACAUAAUGCCCAAAGAUGCAAAGAAGUUUCUGGUGUUUGUCGCUUUGGAUUGUGUCCCUGGGUAGAGUUCAAAGUGGGGAGUUGUGCUUUUGCUCAACCUUGCUGUAAAAGAUACCGUUCCUAACCUUAAGAUGAAGGAAUCAAAGAAGACAGGCUCAGGACUCCUUGAGACUAUCACUAUCUCCUAGAUUUUUCCAAACAAUAAAGUACUUUGCAAAUCCUUAAAGAA